rnacentral:rRNA from 1 species
UACAGAGGUCCCGAGCGUUGUUCGGAUUCAUUGGGCGUAAAGGGUGCGUAGGCGGCCUGUUAAGUUUGAUGUGAAAUCCCCGGGCUUAACCUGGGAACUGCAUUGGUGACUGCAAGGCUUGAGUGUGUCAGAGGGAGGUGGAAUUCCGCGUGUAGCAGUGAAAUGCGUAGAUAUGCGGAGGAACACCGAUGGCGAAGGCAGCCUCCUGGGAUAACACUGACGCUCAUGCACGAAAGCGUGGGGAGCAAACAGG